rnacentral:lncRNA from 1 species
CCGGAAGUGAACCUGCCUCGCGGGGACUCGUGGGGCUGCACGCCGCGCAAGGAACCCCGGGAGGCGGAGGUCUGGUAGCACCACCUACUCUCUUAAAGGAGUAGGCGCUCAGAGUUCAAAACACGAAUUGUUGCCUCUUUACCAUUCUGCCUGGAGCCAACUGAUUAUGGAUUGAAACCUCUACGAACUGUGAGACAAAGAAACCCCUUACCCUCUUAACUUUGGAUGUCAGGUAGCCAUCUAGAUAUGAGCUGGAGCCAGGAAAAUAGUAGGUGAGCUAAAGGAGGAAGUCUAUACCUAUGCACAGACAGAAACUGAUAGGUGAGUUAAUGGAUAUGUGACACAGUGGUCUUAAGUUUCAAAGCUUCCUGAAAUGGGUCCUCAUACCCCUUUCAGGUUCCUUACACCUACCCCAUUAAUGCAGGAGCCCCUGCAUGCCUACCUAGGGGACCCAGGUUCCAGGUUGACAAAUGUUGACUCUCUUGGGCCUUAUUUACAUACAUUUUCAUUACAGUUCUGGCUCCCUUAUAAGCUUUGGCCACUAUGUUUGUUCAAAGACCAUAUAAGUACAAAAACUCCCUUCUUGAGGGUAUAUUUUUAUUACUGGCAAUUGUCACCUCUAGGCUCAGCCUGCUUGGGUUUCUCCCAAGUGUACUGCCCUCUCCAAUAAAG